rnacentral:rRNA from 1 species
CCUACGGGAGGCAGCAGUGGGGAAUAUUGCACAAUGGGCGAAAGCCUGAUGCAGCGACGCCGCGUGAGGGACGACGGCCUUCGGGUUGUAAACCUCUUUCAGCAGGGACGAAGCGCAAGUGACGGUACCUGCAGAAGAAGCACCGGCUAACUACGUGCCAGCAGCCGCGGUAAUACGUAGGGUGCAAGCGUUGUCCGGAAUUACUGGGCGUAAAGAGUUCGUAGGCGGUUUGUCACGUCGUUUGUGAAAACUCACAGCUCAACUGUGAGCCUGCAGGCGAUACGGGCAGACUUGAGUACUGCAGGGGAGACUGGAAUUCCUGGUGUAGCGGUGAAAUGCGCAGAUAUCAGGAGGAACACCGGUGGCGAAGGCGGGUCUCUGGGCAGUAACUGACGCUGAGGAACGAAAGCGUGGGUAGCAAACAGGAUUAGAUACCCUGGUAGUCCACGCCGUAAACGGUGGGCGCUAGGUGUGGGUUCCUUCCGACGGUAAUCCGUGCCGUAGCUAACGCAUUAAGCGCCCCGCCUGGGGAGUACGGCCGCAAGGCUAAAACUACGAAAGUAGUACGACGNGNGAGACGCGACGACGACGACGACGAGGAGAG